GUAACUUGCUGUUUUUAAGGAAUAAAUCCUAUUUUUAAAUAACUCUUAAGGGUUGAAUAGAGACCAUUUCCUGUGUUUUAACUGAGCCAUAAGCACUCCAUCAACACUAACCAUCGCCUCUUCUCUGCCGGGGAGGAAGCAGGCUCAGCAUGACAGAGCACUAGCUGGCUAUCAUCCAGGCAGUGACAGGCGACGCUGGGACUAGAACCCAGGACACAAUUCAACCCACGGCUCUCCGCUCGCAGGAGGCGGCUGCAGGAGCCGUAUUUCUGCCAGGACGGCUGGGAGGUCCGGGGAAGUGCCAUUUCUCAGGGAGGAUGCCUUCGGUAAACUUCACAUGAUUCAAACCUUUGUAGUCCCAGAACCUCUUUCCCCCACAGGAAUGACUGUAAAGUAAGUGAUCAAAUGCGUUCGCACAGCUCGUAAAUCUACAACCGUCUCCCACAUUUUUUGCUUUUGAUGCUGCUUUGUAUGGUUGCAGCAUAAUCUCUGCCCUCCAGCACUCUCCUAGGUUAACAGCACCACCUGUUGAGGAGGUAGUUCAGUCUUCGUGGUGUUUCGUCGGGUCCAGUAUCCACACCAAAGAUACUCAUUUGGGGGUGGGGGAGGGGGUUUCAGCACUAGCAUCACUACCUUGUGAAUGCAUGGGUAAUGUUACUAUAUCUUAAAGGAGACAUAUGUAAUACUCUUUGUAAUACUUUAAGCAAUAAAAAAAAAUGACACACCAAAAAAAAAUGUUACUAUGUCUUUUUAAGGUGGCUUUUCAUGACAGUGAAUGGCAAAAUGACAGCUGCGUAGCCACAGAAAAACAGUUGCUAGAAUCCAGAGUGUGCUGAACAGCUUUGUGAUUCGCUCCAGAAUAAUGUCACAGUGUGGUCAUUUGUCUCCGGCUACAGUGGCGCCGCCUUGUGGCAGUGGCAUGAACACAGUUGAUAAUUCAUUCCAUCCCCGGGACUGCUUUGACAUUGCCCCAUCCCUAAUGAGUUAAAAUGUUGCCUUUUUUUUUUCUGACGUAUCUGUAAUUUCUGAUGGUUUUAUGUGACACUGUGUCAAAGUCGCAUAAUUCCUACUGCAUAGCAUGCAUACCCCAGAGAGGCCGGGACUUGGCGGUGCGGCUCAUGCCCCCGCUGAGACAGCAAAGCUGUCUUGCCCCUGCCCCCCCCUGUUUGGGGUCCCUCCUGUUUGGGGUCCCACAGGAGCCGGGCAAGGCAAUUCUGAGAGCGGUGGAGCCCGAGC